UACCCCUACCGACACUACCAUUCAAACGUUUGGGGUCACUUAGAAAUGUCCUUGUUUUUGAAAGAAAAGCAACUUUUUUUGUCCAUUAAAAAUAACAUCAAAUUGAUCAGAAAUACAGUGUAGACAUUGUUAAUGUUGUAAAGGACUAUUGUAGCUGGAAACGGCUGAUUUGUUUAUGGAAUAUCUGCAUAGGUGUACAGAGGCCCGUUAUCAGCAACCAUCACUCCUGUGUUCACUCCAAUGACAUUUACAUUUACAUUUAAGUCAUUUAGCAGACGCUCUUAUCCAGAGCGACUUACAAAUGACACGUUGUGUUAACUAAUACAAGUUUAUCAUUUUAAAAGGCUAAUUGAUCAUUAGAAAACCCUUUUGCAAUUAUGGUAGCACAGCUGAAAACUGUUGUACUAAUUAAAGAAGAAAUAAAAACCUGGCCUUCUUUAGACAAGUUCAGUGUCUGGAGCAUCAGCAUUUGUGGGUUUGAUUACAGGCUCAAAAUGGCCAGAAACAAAGAACUUUCUUCUGAAACUAAUGAAACUCGUCAAUCUAUUAUUGUUCUGAGAAAUGAAGGCUAUUCCAUGCGAGAAAUUGACAAGAAACUGAAGAUCUCUUACAACGCUGUGUACUACUCCCUUCACAGUACAGCACAAACUGGCCCUAACCAGAACAGAAAGAGGAGUGGGAGACCCCGGUGCACAUUAGAGUGUCUAGUUUGAGAAACAGAUGCCUCAGGUCCUCAACUGGCAGCUCCAUUAAAUAAUACCCGCAAAACACCAGUCUCAACGUCAACAGUGAAGAGGUGACUCUGGGACGCUGGCCUUCUAGGCAGAGUUCCUGUGUCCAGUCUCAACGUCAACAGUGAAGAGGUGACUCUGGGAUGCUGGCCUUCUAGGCAGAGUUCCUGUGUCCAGUCUCAACGUCAACAGUGAAGAGGUGACUCUGGGAUGCUGGCCUUCUAGGCAGAGUUCCUGUGUCCAGUCUCAACGUCAACAGUGAAGAGGUGACUCUGGGAUGCUGGCCUUCUAGGCAGAGUUCCUGUGUCCAGUCUCAACGUCAACAGUGAAGAGGUGACUCUGGGAUGCUGGCCUUCUAGGCAGAGUUCCUGUGUCCAGUCUCAACGUCAACAGUGAAGAGGUGACUCUGGGAUGCUGGCCUUCUAGGCAGAGUUCCUGUGUCCAGUCUCAACGUCAACAGUGAAGAGGUGACUCUGGGAUGCUGGCCUUCUAGGCAGAGUUCCUGUGUCCAGUCUCAACGUCAACAGUGAAGAGGUGACUCUGGGAUGCUGGCCUUCUAGGCAGAGUUCCUGUGUCCAGUCUCAACGUCAACAGUGAAGAGGUGACUCUGGGAUGCUGGCCUUCUAGGCAGAGUUCCUGUGUCCAGUCUCAACGUCAACAGUGAAGAGGUGACUCUGGGACGCUGGCCUUCUAGGCAGAGUUCCUGUGUCCAGUCUCAACGUCAACAGUGAAGAGGUGACUCUGGGAUGCUGGCCUUCUAGGCAGAGUUCCUGUGUCCAGUCUCAACGUCAACAGUGAAGAGGUGACUCUGGGACGCUGGCCUUCUAGGCAGAGUUCCUGUGUCCAGUCUCAACGUCAACAGUGAAGAGGUGACUCUGGGACGCUGGCCUUCUAGGCAGAGUUCCUGUGUCCAGUCUCAACGUCAACAGUGAAGAGGUGACUCUGGGAUGCUGGCCUUCUAGGCAGAGUUCCUGUGUCCAGUCUCAACGUCAACAGUGAAGAGGUGACUCUGGGAUGCUGGCCUUCUAGGCAGAGUUCCUGUGUCCAGUCUCAACGUCAACAGUGAAGAGGUGACUCUGGGACGCUGGCCUUCUAGGCAGAGUUCCUGUGUCCAGUCUCAACGUCAACAGUGAAGAGGUGACUCUGGGAUGCUGGCCUUCUAGGCAGAGUUCCUGUGUCCAGUCUCAACGUCAACAGUGAAGAGGUGACUCUGGGACGCUGGCCUUCUAGGCAGAGUUCCUGUGUCCAGUCUCAACGUCAACAGUGAAGAGGUGACUCUGGGACGCUGGCCUUCUAGGCAGAGUUCCUGUGUCCAGUCUCAACGUCAACAGUGAAGAGGUGACUCUGGGAUGCUGGCCUUCUAGGCAGAGUUCCUGUGUCCAGUCUCAACGUCAACAGUGAAGAGGUGACUCUGGGACGCUGGCCUUCUAGGCAGAGUUCCUGUGUCCAGUCUCAACGUCAACAGUGAAGAGGUGACUCUGGGAUGCUGGCCUUCUAGGCAGAGUUCCUGUGUCCAGUCUCAACGUCAACAGUGAAGAGGUGACUCUGGGAUGCUGGCCUUCUAGGCAGAGUUCCUGUGUCCAGUCUCAACGUCAACAGUGAAGAGGUGACUCUGGGAUGCUGGCCUUCUAGGCAGAGUUCCUGUGUCCAGUCUCAACGUCAACAGUGAAGAGGUGACUCUGGGACGCUGGCCUUCUAGGCAGAGUGCCCAUCUUAAUCUUUUAUUUUUAUUGGCCAGUCUGAGAUAUGGCUUUUUC